CUGACUUUUCUGUUUGCAGGGCUUCCGUCUGGCUCCUGAUGCCUGCGUUUUCAGGGGUGUUUCGCUUCCAUUAAGAUUCUGAGGACACCAGCGGCCUGGAGGAUGGCUCGGUUUUCUAGAAGACCCAUGGCUGGGGCUCCCUCUACGCCCCUGCGGCCGCCCUGUGGAACAAGAUGGGAAGGAAGGAUCAGCAGGAAAUGUACCAGGAAAGGCAACAAGAAAUCAAAGCAUCUACUCAAAAGGAUGAGAGGUACCACAUGGCACAUGGAUAUCUUUAGCGUGGACUGGACUUAGUUUCUUGGGACCCAAUCAACUAUCAGGUGUCCACUGACUUUGUGCACGAAGCUGCCUACCAAUGCAAGAAGAUGCCCCCUGCAUGCCUGAAGCGUCGAGAACAUGAGGCAGGGAAGGAGAGAUCCAUGCACGAGAAACCUGUGACUAUAACAUUUUUAAUAUGUAAUUGCUCUGUGAGAUUUUAUUUUUGGAAAUGCUAUGCCACCAGCCAAGAGAUGCUCAGUGUGACUUGGGAAGGUCUUUCUCCUCAGAUUUCCAGCUGGACAGACAAUGAGGAGGUCAUGGUGCAUAGUCACACUGUGUGAAGCCCAAGGGCAGGGUCUGUGCCAGGGGCACAUGGUGGAUGCCGAGUGAACACAUGAACAUGUGGGUGAGCAGAGAGCUGAGUGCUAAGAGGUAUUCCAGCUCCCAUGACUGUGAACACAGGGAUCUCCCACCUGGAAGGAAAACUCUACACAGGUAUAGGAGGAUCUGAAAAAAUGGACAACACAAAAAAUGUGUGUCUGUAAACCGGAGAGAGGGGCUGUGGGGCAGGAGAGAUUUCAGAUGGAGAUGUUACGAGGCUUCGCUUCUGCCCUGGAGGCCUUGUGUGAAAGGAAGCGCUCUCUGCUGCCCUCUGACCACUUCCUCAGGACCCGCUUCACCCUGUGGAGCUGCAGCUGGAAGUGAAUCAACCCAGGGAGUGCUGGGAAAACGAAGCUGCUUUAGUGACCACAGGUACCGGCUCAUCAGCGUCUUUCUUCUCUGCGCCUGUCCCCACAGGUUCCCCCCUGCCCUGCGUGGUGCAGCGGUUAACCGGAGCGCAUCUGGGCAAGAGGUCACACACACACACACACGAUGCACACAUGGCAGGCUGCAGGUGUGGGAAGACCACUCACCUCACAGCCAUGAGGAAGGUGCAGAGCUGUGAGGUAAGGGAAUUCAGAGCUGCACAGUGAAAGACCUUUAAUCCCACAGCUGAAAUCCAUCCCCCGCCCCCACUUAGAGAAUCAGAGUCUGAGGAGGGCCAGACCCAGGGCUGAGAUCUCCCUUUCUUUACAGUCAAGUAACCGUGGUAAGGGAGCCAUGCAAGUGUAAGCUCAGUGUAGGACGGAGGGUGCUCCUGGGUUCGAUUACAGCGAAGAAGCUGAUUCAGCCAUCUGUCAGUGGCUGCCUGGGGAUGCAUUCAGGUCUCAGGGUGUGUUCAAACCAGCUCUGUGGGGGGAAGGACCGAAGAGAUGUGGACAGCAAGAUGCAAAGGUUAACCUCUGUAGUGGUGAUGGGGGCGGGUUUCUGAAGCUGGCAAUCAAAGGGCAGGCAGGCCCGCCUCCAAAGCAGUGAGAUGGGGCAGGAGACAGCUGGGAGGUGCCUGGGUAGGCUUGCCCGGCACCUGUCCUCCGGCUGCCUCAGGGGCUCAGGCACAGGUGCCAGGGCAUGACACAGGGAGGAGAGCCUGGGGCAGGUGAGUGAGACUUAGAAGACAAGAG